UCGAGAAUCUUCGGCAAUGGACGAAAGUCUGACCGAGCGACGCCGCGUGCGGGAUGAAGGCCUUCGGGUUGUAAACCGCUGUCAGAGGGGAUGAAAUGCUUGAGGGUUCUCCCUCCUGCUUGACAGAUCCUCAGAGGAAGUACGGGCUAAGUUCGUGCCAGCAGCCGCGGUAAGACGAACCGUACAAACGUUAUUCGGAAUCACUGGGCUUAAAGGGUGCGUAGGCGGUGUGGCAAGUUGGGUGUGAAAUCCCUCGGCUCAACCGAGGAACUGCGCUCAAAACUGCCAUGCUAGAGGGAGACAGAGGUGAGCGGAACUUAAGGUGGAGCGGUGAAAUGCGUUGAUAUCUUAAGGAACACCGGUGGCGAAAGCGGCUCACUGGGUCUCUUCUGACGCUGAGGCACGAAAGCUAGGGUAGCGAACGGGAUUAGAUACCCCCGUAGUCC
rnacentral:rRNA from 1 species